UUUCCGUGACCGGCUGUACAUGUGCUUUCGACACGCCGAAAGCGAGUACAUGCGCUUUCGACACGCCGAAAGCGAGCACAUGUAUGUAUGUACACUGCACUGUACAUGGGCUCGUGCUUACAGCGCCUCGCUACGAUAAAUGGCUGAAUUUAUAGGUGUGAAAAAGUGAUGUUCUGACGAAAUUUGUGUUGCAUGCCAUUUCGUUAUUAUUUGCUUAAUUAUGAAAAUGUGAUUUGUUUCGUACUUAUCAAAGUCAUAAUUAUCGACGAAAAGUAAAAUUAUCUUGAAAUUUUAUAUGUAGAAGCGUAUUUUUCACUCGUUUCAAUAGGUGUCAGACCGUGUGUUUCUGCCCGAGAUAACUUGUUUUAUGUGCCUUUUACGAUUGUCAAGGGAGAAAAGAACAGUUUUCGUCGAUUUUUAUGUUUUUAAGCGAUCUCGUUAUUUAGACAAAUUGUAUUUAUUUACAAAUGGCAUGCAACAUAAAUUACCAUAGGCACAAAGCCUAAAUUAAGUGUCAUUUUCUCACUUCUGAUGUCACGACUCUAACUGGCCGCACGGAACAAAUACAAGAAGGAUGUAGAACAGAAAAAAGAACAAGACACAUAACAAGGAACAGGAAGAAGCCUCUCUUUCAUGUGUAAAAAUAACAACAGACCGAAUCUCGGCAGGAUUUUGAACAAACACAACAUCCGAACCAUUUUCAAGCUUCCAAAGAAGAUCGAACAAAUCUUGAGAAAUCCUCAAGCUCAAAGACUUCUAUUCAGUGGAGUACAAAAUAUACUUACUUAUUCUUGCGGGAAAGUAUACAUCGGUGAAACCGAAAGAAUGGUCAACAUGCGCAUGAAGGAACAUCAACGGGCUGUUCAUGUCAGGCUGGAACAUGUCAUUCAAUCAGCAUUGGCAAAACAGCGUUGAGGACAUUAAAUAUUAUUCGAAAAUAAUUAUUCGAAUAAAAUGGCUACUAUAGCUAUAACGAUGUCAUAUUUUCCGAGGAAAUACAAAGAGGCUUUAAAAAUACAGAAACAUCUAGGCAAUUUGAAUAGAGUUUCAGAUUAUAAUCUGCUUCCUCAACAAAACACCAUUUAACUAUGUCAAAUAAGUAACGAGAAUACGUCAUGACAUGAAGAAAACAUGACGGACGCUCUGUUCUAGAACUUACAU